UGGGGAAUUUUGGACAAUGGGCGAAAGCCUGAUCCAGCAAUGCCGCGUGUGUGAAGAAGGCCUUCGGGUUGUAAAGCACUUUUGUCCGGAAAGAAAUCCUUGGCUCUAAUACAGUCGGGGGAUGACGGUACCGGAAGAAUAAGCACCGGCUAACUACGUGCCAGCAGCCGCGGUAAUACGUAGGGUGCAAGCGUUAAUCGGAAUUACUGGGCGUAAAGCGUGCGCAGGCGGUUUGCUAAGACCGAUGUGAAAUCCCCGGGCUCAACCUGGGAACUGCAUUGGUGACUGGCAGGCUAGAGUAUGGCAGAGGGGGGUAGAAUUCCACGUGUAGCAGUGAAAUGCGUAGAGAUGUGGAGGAAUACCGAUGGCGAAGGCAGCCCCCUGGGCCAAUACUGACGCUCAUGCACGAAAGCGUGGGGAGCAAACAGGAUUAGAUACCCUGGUAGUCCACGCCCUAAACGAUGUCGACUAGUUGUUGGGGAUUCAUUUCCUUAGUAACGUAGCUAACGCGUGAAGUUGACCGCCUGGGGAGUACGGUCGCAAGAUUAAAACUCAAAGGAAUUGACGGGGUCAUAGCUGUUUCCU
rnacentral:rRNA from 1 species